CCUUCACUAAUUGGCAACAAUCCAGAUCCUAAGGUAAUUGAAGAGAGUGAAGCAAAGCUUGUGAAGGUGUUGAACAUUUAUGAAGAGAGGCUAUCUAAGAAUAAAUAUUUGGCUGGUGAUUUCUUUAGCCUUGUUGAUAUAAGUCACCUUCCUUUUACUGAUUAUAUUGUUAAUCAUAUGGGAAAAGAUUAUUUGAUAAAGGAUAGGAAACAUGUUUGUGCUUGGUGGGAUGAUAUUAGUAGUAGACCAUCAUGGACCAAGGUUCUUGAAUUAUAUAGACCUCCAAUCUAGUUAGUGAAACAUAAAAAUGCUAGCAUAUACUCUCCUUUAUUGGUUGAAUUUUAUACAUGAUCCACUAAAUUAUGUGGAAUAUACAUUAAUUUAGUGAGUUUUAUAUAAAUUUCAACUAAUAGGAAGAAAUAUGUAUUGAAGUGUGUUAUUAAAAGUAACAUGGUUUUAUCUAGUUUGAGGAGAAGUGAAGAAUAAAUGUUGUUUAAUGAGAUAUAGUAUCGUUUUAUACAAGAAACGAUUAUAAGCUAUUUUAAUAAAAAUUAUAAAAUUUAGUGUAUUAUACUAACUAAAUUUCAAAAUUGUUGUCUAUUUUAUUUUGUGAGAGUAUUUUUUUUAUCUGAAAAAAAUAGACUACUGUAUAUUCAAAAUAUUGUUUAAUUAUUUUUAUAUGAAUUGAUAAAGUUAGGAUAAAUUAAAUUUUUUAAAUAUAAAAUUCAAAUUAUUUAAAAAAUAAAAUAGAUUAAUAUAAAAUUUACUUGGAUCAUAUGCAAAAUCAAAUUUCUAAGGCUACCAUGGAUUCUUCUAGAUGCAAUAAAUCCUGAACAAAACACCGAUAAUGCAACAACACAAAUCCAAUCGCUAUCUACUGGCUAGUCAUGACCACUUAGAUUUACUUGGACUAUUGAUAAUGAGAAUGUGAAGAAUAUUAUAUAUUAUUGAUGUCACCUUUGUUGAAAAUUUGAAUGAAAGAUGGAAACAUAUUGGUUAAUAACUUGAAUUAUUUAUUAGUUGAGUUGUUUAGAACUUUUUUAAACACAAAUUUAUAGGCUUUUAUGUGGUCUUGACAAGCUUUAUUUACUUGAAAAGUAAUAGAGCCAAAGGUUUUAAAUGAAAAUAAUACCAAGUUUAAAGACGGAUCUUCAGUUUUGUCUCUCAUAAGGGUGUUCAUGGUGAUCGGGUUUAAGAUAAAAUUUCAUUUAAUCUAACGAUAAAAAUAAAUACAGUUUGGUUAAAAAUAAAUACAGUUUGGUGAACUUUUAUAGGAAGAAUUACUCCUUGAUGAAUUGUACUCAAAAUCUUUUAGAUCAUUGUGAGAUCCUCUGCGAGAUCCACAGACAAUUGUGUGAUGUUCAUCAUAUAUAUAGUCAUGAUUUGAUCACAAAGGAUAACAUGUUCAGCUAAAGUGUAUUUUGCGUUUGAGUCAGAUGGAUCUGUGAGAUUUUGCAUUCGAGUCCAAUUGAUAUUGGCCCAAAAUCCAUUCUGGAACAAACUCUAACAAAUUGGUAACUAACAAAAAAAAAAAAGUUGUUUUCUAUGAAAAAUUUAUCCUAUAUCAGGCUUAUACCUCACAAUUUUAUGAAAAUGUUAAAAUUACUAUUAAUUUUUCUUUUUACUAUUUCACAAAAUUUGAAGUCACUUUUUAUUUAUCAUUUCAUCAUUUCCAGAGCAGUAAAAAAAGGUAUAAAUUUUCUGGUAACUUUUGAAAAACUAUUUGGAAGAAUUCCGGUAUCCAGAGUGUUUCUGGAAAACUUUUUACAAGUUUUCCGUUAUUGAAGAAUGUUACCGGAAAACUUUAAAAAAAAUUCCAGUACAUAAUGAAAAAUGUGUAUACCAGAAAAUUUUCUUCAAUUUUUUUUGAUACAUAAGGUGUUUCUGGAAAACUUCAUUGACAAGUUUUCGGUACACGCCAAUUUUUUAAAUUUUUUUUUAAUUUUUUUAAAUUUAUUAAUUUUGUUAAAUGUUAAGAGAUAUAGAUAAACCACUACUAUUAUUGGAUAAAACAUGCAUCACUAUUACAAACAUUUUUUACAUAGAUCAGAUAUGAAUAAUUAUGAUUAAUAUUAAUAUUAUAAAAAUAUAUUAUUGUGAUUGAUUAUAAUUUAUUUUAUAUUAUUGUAAUUAAUUAUAAUUUAUUUUAUAUUUUAUUUUAGAUAUUUGAUACAAGAGACGCUGUUGUGAAUUGGGCUAAAGAAAUCAUAUAAAAAAUAAAGUUAAUGUUAUCAUGAGAAGAUCAGAUAUAUAGACAAGAGAGAAAGAGAGGAGAAAUAAAUUAAUAUUAGGUUGUGACAAAGGAGGAAAAUACAAGUGUGUUGUUAGUUCAACUCGAAGUUCAACAAAAAAGUGUGAUUGUCCUUUCAAGCUUAUAUCAAAACCAUAAAAAGAUGGUUCAAGAUGAACAAUUAAAGUAAUUUAUGGAGUUCACAACCAUGAAUUAUCUGAUACUUUAGAGAGGCAUGCAUUUGUUGGAUGCUUAGAUGAAGAAGAAAAAAACAUGUUCAUGACUUAAUAAAAUAUAUUGUUGCACCGAAACACAUAUUACUCUCAUUGCAAGACCGAGAUAAGAAUAAUGUUAUUAAGAUAUCACAAAUAUAUAAACAAAUGAGUAUGAUUCGAUUACAAGUGAGAGAUAAUAAAACAUAGAUGCAACAUUUAUUCAAGUUAAUUAAAGAUGCAAAAUAUGUUUAUUUGAAUAGAAAACGUGAAGACUCAAAUGUUAUGAGAGUUAUUUUUUAGGCGCAUUUAGAUUCAGUGAAGUUGUUGAAAUUUUUUUCGAUUGUAUUGGUUAUGAGUAGUACCUACAAAACCAAUAAAUUCAUAAUACUAUUACUUGAAAUUAUUGGUAUGACAUCAACAGAGAUGUCAUUUGUAGUUUGAUUUGCUUAUUUGGAAUGUGAGCGGGAAUAAAACUUUUGAUGGGAAUUAUAGACAAGCUAAGAGAAAUGUUUGUUACACAAAACAAAUUUCCUCAAGUAAUUGUGAUAGACAGAGAUCUUGCGUUAAUGAAUGCAGUUGAUAUUGUAUUUUCACAUGCUGUUAAUUUGCUUUUUCAAUUUCAUAUCUCUAAAAAUAUUGGAGUAAAAUGUAAGCAAUAUGUCUUAAAGGAUAGACAAGAGUUAAUAUUAAAUAUGUGGAAAGAAAUUAUGUAUUGCAGUGAUAAAAAAUAAAAAAUAAAAGAGUAUAUCAUGUGUUUGCACAUGUUUGAGCAAUCAUAUGUCGAUAAUAAAAUGUUUGUUGACUAUGUGAAAGAAACUUGGUUGACUCCUUAUAAGGAAAGGUUUGUUGAAGCAUGGACAAAUUGAGUGAUGCAUUUGGAGAACACAACGACUAAUGAGUAUGUCAUGUGACUCUAAAACUUUGAUUUUGUAAUUUUAUUAUAUAUUGUUGAAUUGCUUAAUGGUGACAAUUUAUAUGUAAUGAUAGGGUUGGGUCAACUCAUUGGAAACUGAAGUUAAUGUUGGAACACAACAUAGGUGACAUGUAUAAAUGUUGGGAGGCUAUGAACAACAUGAUAAGGUUGCAACAUAAAAAAAUCAGUGGCUCGUUUCAGAAAAAUUUCUAUGAUGAAGAUCAUGAACAUAUAAAUUCAUUUUAUCAGAGAUUGAAUAUAUUUGUAUCAAGAGAAGCUCAAAGACGUAUUCCUCAAGAAUACGAGAAAGUUGAGUGGGUGGGUACUAACAAAUUUGUAUGUGGGUGCUCUCUCAUAAGGACAUACGAGCUACCUUGUGCUUGUGAAUUGGCACAAUAUAAAUUAAUGGGUGAACCAAUACCUCUAGAUUAUGUGGAUAUUCAAUGGACAAAAUUAAGCAUGGAAUGUGAAAUCACCCAAGACAUAGAAGAUGGGAUAGUUGGAUAUGUCUACUGAGAUGAAUGCCUUAUGGAAAUAUUUUCAAUCACUUGAUGUUAUAGGAAAACGAGUGUUGAAGAGUAAGGUGCGUGAACAUGUUUUUUCAACUACAAGUUCAAUGUGUCCAUCUCCUGAAAAAGUUAAAACCAAAGGACGAGUGAAGAAGAGUAAAGGUGAUAAGUCGGAUGAAUAUGAUGUAUAUCGAGACCCUUCUUACUUUGAGCAUGUUAAUGCAACAUAUUAUGAAGAUCUUGGUUCCCAACCAUCUUAGUCAUCAAAGAAGAGACAACCCUCUCAAUCAAAGAAACAACCAUCUCAAUCUUCAAAGUAUUUUUUCUGGAGACAAUUUCCUGAUGUUAUUCAACUAUACAUUUUUGACAUAUUUGAUGUGGUAGUGGAUGAAAAUUUUGGUUUUCGCGUUAUUGCAUUAUUGCUUGGAUACAGUGAGGAGUCUUGGUCUUUGGUCUGCAAUAGUUUGGACCACAAGAUUGCUUCUCAUAUAACUCGAUAUGAUAGGCAGCUCCUAGGACGCAUUAAAAAAGUAAAAGAUUCGUUGAAGAUAUUCGGCUUAGGUCUUCAACCCGUAGAUAAAUUGAUGUCCAUACCUGAUAUGGGUUAUGUGAUAGCGACAACAUAUAAUAUUAUUCUCGUCACGUUUGGUCAGAUAUUUUCAAUGACUUUCUUUCCUAUGAGUGGUUCACAUUCAGGAUCGACAAAAAAUGAUCAUAUGAUAUGUAUUGGUUUUGUUGAUGGAAAUCAUUGGAUUCGGUAAAAUUAUCUGAUUUUCUUUUGUAUUAAUUUUUUAAAAUAAUCAAAUGAAUUUUUAAAAUAAUCAAAUGAUUUUAUUUGGCAGUUAAAUAUGAAAGAUAGAUUUCCAAUGCCAGACAUUGCACCAGGUUAGAAGCAAUAUCGCACUGAUGAAGCAACUUCUUAGGCAAUAGCAUAUGUAGGGCGUCUACAACACUGAGGGUAUUUAUACAGGUUGUCUACAACACUGAGGGUAUUUAUACAGGUUGUCUACAACACAUAAGAUUGGCAAUAUCAUCCAAAGUAAUCGUCAUUUCACCAAAUGACAUGUGAAAUGACGAUGUCUCGGAAUGUCAUCUUUCCACAAACACAUAAAUCAAAUUGUUGUCGAUCAUCUUCAAACUACUCGUUGUAAUGGGGCUAAUCCUAAAAAAUUUACUCAAUUCUCUAUGGAUUGCGGGAGUACUAACAGAGUAAAUUGUUGCAUUUUCUUUUCAGACACAACAAUUUUCAGCAAUAGUCGCUCCUGUAUACAAAGAAAAUAUAUAAUAUUAAAAUUAAAUAUAUAAAAAAAUAAUUAAUUUAAAUAUUUUUAAUGCACUAUAAUAAUAAUUAAUUUAACAUAACUGAUCAAACCACAUUCUAGCUGAAACAUGAUGACGGUAUCGUGUAAGGACGGACAAAUCAUGUGGUCCUUCAGGAUACCGUGUGAGUUCACCUAGUCAUUGAGCUCCAUCAUGCCCAUCCUCCAUACUAAUGGUGGAUAAAUAUUUUUCUUAUUAAUGAUGGAUAAAUAUAAGAUAAAAUUAAUAUCACGUCUUUCUUCUUACACAAACUCUUUCUCAAUGGUCCAUGUAAUGUCUUCCAUUCAAAGAAUGGUAAGAUACUUUUCUUCUUUCAUAAACUCUUUCUCAAUGGUCCAUGUAAUGUCUUCUAUUCAAAUAAUGAUAAGAUUAUUUUCUUCUUUCAUAAACACUCUCUCAAUGGUCCAUGUAAUGUCUUCCAUUCAAAGAAUGGUAAGAUUCUUUUCUUCUUCCAUAAACUCUUUCUCAAUGGUCCAUAUGUAAUGUCUUCCAUUCAAAUAAUGGUAAGAUUAUUUUCCUCUUCCAUAAACUCUUUAUCAAUGGUACAUGUCUUAAAUAAAUGCCUCAUUGCAACCACGAUGUAUUGAUAUAUAAAUAGAUCUCCCACUUUAUAUCUCUUGUUGAAACAUAUAUUUGAAGAGAAAUCAAACCAUGGUAGUAAAGGUGUAUAGUCCCCAUUGUGCCUCAACCAAACGUGUGAUGGUUUGUCUCAUUGAGAAGGAAGUUGAAUUUGAGACUAUCCCUCUUGAUGUCAUUAAGGGAGAGCACAAGGAUCCUCAGUACCUCAAAUUACAGGUUCACUUCCUUUCAUCUUUCUUAAAUAUAUGCUAACAAUAUUUAAUUCAAGGUUUAAUCAUUCAGUUGAGUUAAACAAAAGUUUGAUUAUUGAGUUUAAAUAAAAAUAUUUAUAAAAGUCUAAAAAAAAUUUGUCGCGCAUUUAAUCAUAUCUUAAUAUUUACUUUUCAUGAUUGACUCAUAUUCUUUGUUGAUAAUUAAUCUGCAGCCCUUUGGAGGUAUUCCAGUUAUUGAAGAUGGAGAUUAUACCCUAUAUGGUAAUCUAUUAUGACCCCAAGUUAUACUUUAUUAAUUAUUUUUCAAAUAUAAUUAAAUAAAAAUGGUAAUUAGUAAAAUUGAUGUAUAUCUUUUUAAAAUCAAAAUCCAAUAUAUCAAUUUUUCAAUUUCUAUUUAUAUUUAUAUUUAUUUUAAAUGGAAUAUUAUUUAAUGUUUCUAUCUAGUGAUUUUAAUGGUUUCAAUUUAUGUAAUUGUGCAGAAUCUCGAGCAAUAAUGAGAUAUUAUGCUGAAAAAUAUAGAUCUCAAGGGGUUGAGUUGCUAGGAAAGACAAUUGAAGAAAGGGGUCUAGUGGAACAAUGGUUAGAAGUUGAAGCACAAAAUUUCAACCCACCAGCAAGCGACUUAGCCAUUCACAUUUUAUUUCCUUUUAUAAUUGGCAACAAUCCAGAUCCUAAGGUGAUUGAAGAGAGUGAAGCAAAGCUUGUUAAUGUGUUGAACAUUUAUGAAGAGAGGCUAUCUAAGAAUAAAUAUUUGGCUGGUGAUUUCUUUAGCCUUGUUGAUAUAAGUCACCUUCCUUUUAUUGAUUAUAUUGUUAAUCAUAUGAGGAAAGAUUAUUUAAUAAAGGAUAGGAAAUAUGUUAGUGCUUGGUGGGAUGAUAUAAGUAAUAGACCAUCUUGGACCAAGGUUCUUGAGUUAUAUACAGCUCCAAUCUUGUU
rnacentral:lncRNA from 1 species